GAUGAACGCUAGCGGCAGGCUUAACACAUGCAAGUCGAGGGGCAGCAUGACGAAACCUUCGGGUUUUGUUGAUGGCGACCGGCGCAAGGGUGCGUAACGCGUGAGCAACUUGCCCUUAUCAGGGGGAUAACCGGUGGAAACGCCGACUAAUACCCCAUAGUAUUGGCUUUAGGCAUCUUUAGUCAAUUAAAGAAUUUCGGAUAAGGAUAGGCUCGCGUGACAUUAGCUAGAUGGCGGGGUAACGGCCCACCAUGGCUACGAUGUCUAGGGGUUCUGAGAGGAAGGUCCCCCACACUGGAACUGAGACACGGUCCAGACUCCUACGGGAGGCAGCAGUGAGGAAUAUUGGUCAAUGGUCAGACGACUGAACCAGCCAUGCCGCGUGAAGGUGACGGCCCUAUGGGUCUUAAACUUCUUUUGCAAGGGAGCAAUAAGAGCUACGUGUAGCUUGAUGAGAGUACCUUGCGAAUAGCAUCGGCUAACUCCGUGCCAGCAG
rnacentral:rRNA from 1 species